rnacentral:lncRNA from 10 species
AUAUCCAAGCCUCAGUUCUCAUGAAGCAUCAGAAUGAUGAUCCCCUGGAAAGUGAGAGCCGUUUCUUCACUAGAUACUUUCCCUCCAGUGUCCCAGUAUUGGUGGCCACAGUGGGAGCCCCUUACAGCUGGCUCUUGAGUCUUGUUGACACAUCCCAUCAUUCUUUGCUGACGUAGCUUUCCAUGUUUUCUGCCUGAGAGAACCUGUGCAGCUCUCCACUGGCACAGUGAAAGCAUCUCCUAGGGGUGAGUUCAAAACAGUUCCCUGACAUGUCUUGGAAAUAGUGCUACUGGGGACAAAAUCAAAACUAAUGUUACCUGGGGCAAUGGGAAGUGCGUUCUGCAUGUAAUUUACACUGGAACUUGAUAUGACUACUGUAAAAACUAUAAAUGAAUAUGAUC